UGUGGGUUGUGGGCUGUGUGGCUGUGGUAUAGGUGCCGCCAGUUGAUAACCCCCAGC
rnacentral:pre_miRNA from 1 species